CGCACCCACCCCGCACCAAAGCUCCCAGCUUUUUUCCCCUUCCUCCGCCGCCGCGACUAGAGUUUCCUCGCUAGGGUUUCGUCUCCCGGUCCGGAUCCAGCAGCAGCAGCGGGCGAUGGCGGCCGCGGGAGACGCCGGCGAGAAGAAGAUGAUCACACUCAAGAGCUCGGACGGCGAGGAGUUCGAGGUGGAGGAGGCGGUGGCCAUGGAGUCGCAGACGAUCCGCCACAUGAUCGAGGACGACUGCGCCGACAACGGCAUCCCGCUCCCCAACGUCAACUCCAAGAUCCUCUCCAAGGUCAUCGAGUACUGCAACAAGCACGUCCAGGCCAAGCCCGCCGAUGGGGCUGCCGCCGGAGCCGGAGCCGGAGCCUCGGACGCCGCCCCCGCCGCCCCCGCCGAGGACCUCAAGAACUGGGACGCCGAGUUCGUCAAGGUCGACCAGGCCACCCUCUUCGACCUCAUCCUGGCUGCCAACUACCUGAACAUCAAGGGGCUGCUGGACCUGACCUGCCAGACUGUUGCUGACAUGAUCAAGGGCAAGACCCCAGAGGAGAUCCGCAAGACCUUCAACAUCAAGAACGACUUUACGCCCGAGGAGGAGGAGGAGAUCCGCAGGGAGAACCAGUGGGCCUUUGAGUAGAGGAGCAUCUAGGCAGGCGAUGCCGCCGCCGCGUUGAAUGAACGAACAACGCUUAGUAUUCGUCAUGUCUGCAUUUCAGCGCUCUUCUUUAUGUCUGUCGUAAUGGGUUGUAAUUAUCCUGGAGUCUAUGAGGUGGUGUCGGUGAACAUGUUCGGUCAGUGGUUAUGUUUGCGACAACAAGAAAAACCUAUCGUGGUCAGUGGUCAUCACUUGUCAAACUGAAUCUUAAUCGUCAAGUGGAAUGCUUUGCUUGUUUAUCACCAUCCUGUUCUGAUUGUUGCUGUGUGAUUUGAGCUUCUUUCUUGAAGCUUAACAACCUGUUCUCUUAAUCUGGAUGCUGCUUCUUUAAGAUUGGAAUAUUUGCAGAUUUCUGUUUACUGUUUUUGGUUAUAUAUGUUUCUGUUGUGCCUGAUGAGAGCAAACAAAUUGUUCUGGGCCUCUGAUUUCUGAAGCCUUAGAUGAUAAGGAAGUGUCUCAUUCAGAGGGUGAGGGGCCUGGAGCCACUCAUGAUCUUGUGGUCUUAUCCACCAAGUGGCCUCUGCCUUGCCUUCCAAAAUAGCAGAAAAUCCUGGCGCCUCAUGUUUCCUUCUCAACCUGAUAAGAGAAGCACUACAUGUAGCUUGUCACCACCACUUGCAUCUAGCUUCUUGUUUCUCCUCCUUGCAGCUGCUCCAGCCAUGGCGAAGCCGAUAUCAAUAGAGGUGUGGAACCCCAGCGGCAAGUACCGUGUGGUGAGCACCAAGUCCAUGCCCGGCACCCGCUGGAUCAAGCUCCUCACUGACAACGACUGCCGCCUCGAGAUAUGCACGGAGAAGAAGACCAUCCUCUCUGUCGACGACAUACUGGCACUCAUCGGUGAUCACUGCCAUGGUGUCAUCGGCCAGCUAACAGAGGACUGGGGGGAAGUGCUCUUCUCUGCGCUCAAGCGCGCUGGCGGGACAGCCUUCAGCAACAUGGCCGUCGGUUACAACAACGUCGACGUAGAUGCUGCCAACAGGAAUGGCAUCGCCAUCGGCAACACGCCUGGUGUUCUUACUGAGACGACGGCGGAGCUAGCGGCAUCGCUGUCGGUGGCGGCUGCCCGGAGGAUCGUUGAGGCCGACCAAUUCAUGAGGGCUGGCCUCUACGACGGAUGGCUCCCGCACCUGUUUGUUGGGAACUUGCUCAAGGGGCAGACUGUUGGAGUGAUCGGAGCUGGCCGCAUCGGCUCAGCUUAUGCAAGGAUGAUGAUUGAGGGGUUCAAGAUGAACUUGAUCUACUUCGACCUGUACCAGUCCACACGGCUCGAGAAAUUCGUCACCGCGUAUGGCCAGUUCCUGAAAGCCAAUGGUGAGCAGCCCGUGACAUGGAAGAGGGCUUCCAGCAUGGAGGAGGUCCUCAGGGAGGCUGAUGUGAUAAGCCUGCACCCAGUGCUGGACAAGACAACGUACCACCUGAUAAACCCAGAGCGGCUGGCGAUGAUGAAGAAGGAGGCAGUGCUGGUGAACGCGAGCCGUGGCCCGGUGAUCGACGAGGUAGCACUGGUGGAGCACCUGAGGGCGAAUCCCAUGUUCCGUGUUGGCCUCGAUGUUUUUGAGGAUGAGCCUUACAUGAAGCCAGGGCUGGCUGAGAUGAAGAAUGCCGUUGUCGUGCCUCACAUCGCAUCUGCAUCCAAGUGGACGCGUGAAGGGAUGGCGACACUCGCUGCUCUUAACGUGCUUGGUAAGAUAAAGGGGUACCCGGUGUGGGGGAACCCGAACGCGGUGGAGCCCUUCCUCGACGAGAAGGCGGCGCCGCCCCCUGCCUGCCCAAGCAUCGUUAAUGCCAAGCAGCUCGGCCUGCCAUCUUCCAAGCUUUAGGCAGAGGCAGAGAUGGAUGAAUCACUGCUACUACUACUACUACUUGCUAAGAUGCUAUGCAUAUAUAGCUCCUUCCCAGUAUAUAUGUAUGGAUGCUCUCAUCCUCAUGGAGUAGUAGUACUGAAUGAAUGAAUGAAUGAGUAUAUAUAUCAAGCAAGAGAUUUUUGAUCAAUUAUGCAUUUAUUAUAUGUUUCCCUGCCCUGCAUUACUUAUACCCACUGCUUGCUAGUAAAUUAAGCUUGGCAAAUUAUGCUGUGAUGUAUGCUAGGUAUUACUCCCUCCGUCCCAAAAUAAGUGUCUUAAGUUUAGUACAACUUUGUACUAGAGUUAGUAUAAAGUUGAGACACUUAUUUUGGGACGGAGGGAGUACAUAUAUGCUGUAAUGUAUGAUAGAUAUAUUAUGCUGUGAAGCAAUUAAGAAAUCCAAGGGAAUUACACCACCCAUAGUUCCCAGGCAGUAGCAUCUGUCUGGCUGCCAAAGAC
rnacentral:rRNA from 1 species